GUUUUUCUUUACAUGUAUGUAGCGAGACUCCUUCAUGACUCAACAAUUGUUAUAACUAUCUUCUUCUCUGUCUCUACCCACCUCAAGCUCCCUGUUAUCUCGGUGAGCACUUAACAUUUGAAGACGCUGAAUACGUUGUGGAAUUGUUCCAUCAAAUCUCAUGCUCUGAGGAUCUUCAGAAUAAGCUACAUAGUAAGCCAAUACACAUGCCUGUAGCCACGCCAAACCUACCCUUCCCUGAAAACACUCAAAACCAGUUAAUGAAGAGACAGCUCCAACAGAAACAGCACUGAGAAAACAGAAGGAGCUAGUGAGAUCCGAGUCAAUCAGUUUCUCCAACCCUGUUGUGCUUCUGAACUUCUUCCAGGUAUCACUCGAAGCCUCCAUGAAUCCUUUAUCAUAGGUUCCAACAUGUACAAAGCCCCAUCUGUUUCCAAGUGUAAUGAGUUUGUUAGCAAUGGUAGAGAAGCAAUCAGCACCUGAAUACAUGACCUCAUCGCUGCUCCCUGACAUUAGAUUAACACUUCUUAUUGAUCCUCUUAUGAAUACGAUGAUUGGAACAAGCGUCGAGCCAACGCAGAUGCUCCCAGUCAAGUGUUUCAUAGUGAUGCGGAAAGCAUUCCAAGCGUCCAUAUCUUCUCCAUGUGCAAAGUUUACAUAUCUCGCCCGUGAAAUCGCAACUUGUUGAACAUUCUUGAUAACUUGCAUCGUCCAUGCUAAGCUUAUUAUGAUUACGGAUAUGAACAAGAUAUCAAGAUUUGUUCUAGUGGAAGUUGCUCCUCCAAUUCCAGUCACCAAGAAACCAGAGUAAACGACACUGACUAUGAUUGAUAAGCAGACUACUUCUCUGGUUCUUGCAGGUGGAAAUGCUGUGGCAAGUGAUAAUAUUUUAUCGGUGUACUCAAGCCUCGGAGUAAUCCAGCAACCAUAGAGGGACUGAGUAAUGGCGAAAAGGACAAACACUGCACCUAUACCUGCAUCUACCGCUGAGCCAAUCAAAACAAGCAAGAUUCCUACCGAGCAGGUGAGUAUUGGACUAAGCCAGAACGUUGCUUUGACUGCUCUUGAUGGAUUGUAGAUAAAGAUGCAUUGCCAUGCUAAAGAUGCAAUUCCUGAGACAGCAACAGAUGCUAGUAAAGGAGGGUACCAUUUCUUGAGGUGGAAAUGGUGUGUACUUGCUGAGAUGAGACCGCGAAUGGUGAGAACGAUCACCAAAAGUGAGAUUAAGGUUAUUCAAAGCUGGUUAAUGUGAAUUCGUUAUGAACAUGCAAGUAAAAAGCACCAUGAAGAAAACAAGAAGAGACAAAAGAGAAGCUGGGUCUUGGUUUUGUUCUUGAGUCAAGAAAUAGUGAUGGAAGUCAACGAGAGAGGAUCAAAACAGAUAGCAUAAAGUAGAAAGCAAAACAGAACCCAGAGAGAGAGAAGAUACAGAGAUCAAGGUGUUUCCUGAUUCUUGAUUCAAAAGAGAGAAAUACCUUGAAGGCGAUUGGAGAAGAAGAAGGAGGAAGAGGAGACAUUAUUCUUGGUUCUUGAAUCUGCACGCGAGAGGCAUGACCGUUGCUUGUUGGUGUAGGCAUAGAUGCGUUGUAUUUGCCAGGAGUGUUCCUUGAAUCCCAAGUUCCACUUAACCAUCUUCAUCAAUCAUCAUUCUUCUGUUGUAUAUAUAUAUGUAUAUAUACAUACAUCUUUGUCAAUAAGUUCUAUCAUU
rnacentral:lncRNA from 1 species